rnacentral:rRNA from 1 species
UACGUAGGGUGCAAGCGUUAUCCGGAAUUAUUGGGCGUAAAGAGUUCGUAGGCGGUUUGUUGCGUCGGCUGUGAAAUCCCGAGGCUCAACCUCGGGUCUGCAGUCGAUACGAGCAAACUAGAGUGUUGCAGGGGAGACUGGAAUUCCUGGUGUAGCGGUGAAAUGCGCAGAUAUCAGGAGGAACACCGGUGGCGAAGGCGGGUCUCUGGGCAACAACUGACGCUGAGGAGCGAAAGCGUGGGGAGCGAACAGG